UACGGAGGGGGCUAGCGUUGUUCGGAAUCAUUGGGCGUAAAGCGCACGUAGGCGGCGAAGCAAGUUGGGUGUGAAAGCCCUGGGCUCAACCCAGGAAGUGCAUUCAAAACUGCUUCGCUUGAAUCUCGGAGGGGGUCAGAGAAUUCCCGGUGUAGAGGUGAAAUUCGUAGAUAUCGGGAGGAAUACCAGUGGCGAAGGCGCUGACCUGGACGAAGAUUGACGCUGAGGUGCGAAAGCGCGGGGAGCAAACAGG
rnacentral:rRNA from 1 species